rnacentral:tRNA from 1 species
CCCCUCGUAGCUCAAUGGAUAGAGCAGGUCCCUACUAAGUUCCGUGUUGCGGGUUCGAGUCCCGCCGAGGGCGCCA